CCUACGGGUGGCAGCAGUGGGGAAUAUUGCACAAUGGGGGAAACCCUGAUGCAGCGACGCCGCGUGGAGGAAGAAGGCUUUCGGAUUGUAAAGCUCUGUUAUCAGGGACGAUAAUGACGGUACCUGAGUAAGAAGCCCCGGCUAACUACGUGCCAGCAGCCGCGGUAAUACGUAGGGGGCAAGCGUUAUCCGGAAUUACUGGGUGUAAAGGGAGCGUAGACGGUAAUGAAAGUCUGGAGUGAAAGGCGGGGGCCCAACCCUCGGACUGCUUUGGAAACUGGGUAACUGGAGUGCAGGAGAGGCAGGCGGAAUUCCUAGUGUAGCGGUGAAAUGCGUAGAUAUUAGGAGGAACACCAGUGGCGAAGGCGGCCUGCUGGACUGUAACUGACGUUGAGGCUCGAAAGCGUGGGGAGCAAACAGGAUUAGAUACCCUUGUAGUC
rnacentral:rRNA from 1 species